UCGCAUUCCCGGUCCAGCGCGUCUACUUGCUCCAGCAUGGCCUUCUGCUUCAACUGCACAGACUGCGCAGAAGCAGGAACAAGUUCUGAAGAGAUUUGAUACCUGAAAGGCAUCAUAACAUAGUUGGCUCCUCGUGCUGCCUGCUCGCCACCUCCUCUUUCUUGGACUGGGCCUCCCGCAGCUGGACAUCGUGCUCCUGCAGGCCGGCCUGGUACUGCGUCCUCUCCCUCGCCAGCAGCUCCUCCGUGGCCUCCAGCCGCCUCCUCAGCUCGUCGCGCGCCUCCUCCAGCGCCACCAGGCUCUCCCGGAGUGGCUGCACGGUGUCGCGCAUCUUGGACAGGUGCUUCCCCACCCGGCCCAGGUCCCGGCGCUGCUCGGCGGCCCACUGCGCCACGUCGGUGGCCGACAGGCGGCCCUGCUCCAGGGACUCAUCCAGCGCGGCCAGGAAGUACACGAGGGAGGAGGGCAGGCCCUGGCUCUGGCACAGCCCCACCAGGGCGUCGCUCACCUCGCGCAGGCUGGUCUGCACCCGCGCACAGGCCGUGCAGGGAACCAGCGCCGACGUCACCGUCUGGCUGCUCACUGUGCGCGUGUCCGUGGAGAUGUGCUGCUGCGCUGCUCUGGGAGGGGUGCACAUUCUACUUCCUGUUCCUGAAGAGCUCUGCUGGGGUACGGAGGACACUCGCUGGUUGGGGUUAUUCCUGGGGCUCUGUUGAGCGGGGGCCGACUGGCUGUGCAUUUUCAUCUUACAGCCGGCUUUCAUCUGCUUGCUGGCCUUCUCUUCAGAGGCUUCUUCAUUCUCUUUUGACUUGUCCUGAAUGGACAGAAAUAAACUUCAUGCCAUGAUAUUGGCAUGUUUGAUAUACAGUGUAGUAAUACAUACUCUCUAUUGUCUGCAGGGAAAAAUGAUAAGCCUUGAUGAAUAAUAAAUGUGUUCUUCUUAUUACUAUUA